rnacentral:lncRNA from 1 species
UAUAGGGCAAAUUGGAUUAAUAUACACAUAUGCCUCUGUCUUCUUGAAUACACCAAGUACGAGCUCAGACCCAGAUCUCCUCAUAUUGCCAAAUUGUUCCAGCUAAUCCCUUUCACUAUUCAAUGCAACUACACCUGGCACAGUGAAACCAGCUAUAGUGCAUGGGGAUUUUUGCCACCUGGGAGGGAAAGUAGAGUUAAUGUUGGGCUGACAUGUAUUUUAGUACUGUAUUUCCUGGUACUCAUAAGCUUAAGUCACAUUAAGUCCUUGUUUCUUGGUUUUCAGAUAUCUGAAGGACACUGUAUUCAACAUUCUGAAAUUUCAGCCAAUGCUUAAGUUUCAUUGAAGCAUAUAGCAGGUAAGU